rnacentral:tRNA from 1 species
GGGAUAUAGACUCAGCGGAUCCAGAGUGCCACCUUGACGUGGUGUAAGUCAUCAGUUCGAACCUGAUUAUCCCGA